UGUGCUGGGCAAUGGGCGGGGGCAAGAGAUGGGGUUGAAGAAGGCAGCAGCGUUCAGGCCACGGAGGGCUGUGUAGGUCAGGGGACGGGAGCACUGGGGAGCCACAGCAGGCUCUGAGCAGGGGAAAGACCUGACAGCAGCAGGUUUGUGGUGUAGCAAGAUCCUUCUAGAUGGGAGGAGGUGAGACU